rnacentral:misc_RNA from 1 species
GAUGAAGAACGUAGCGAAACGCGAUAUGUAAUGUGAAUUGCAGAAUUCAGUGAAUCAUCGAAUCUUUGAACGCACAUGGCGCCUUCCAGUAUCCUGGGAGGCAUGCCUGUCCGAGCGUCGUUUCAACCCUCGAGCCCCCGUGGCCCGGCGUUGGGGAUCUGCCACGGCAGGCCCCUAAAACCAGUGGCGGACCCGAAGGCCCUCUCCUUUGCGCAGUAGCAUCAGCCUCGCAUUGAGAUCCCUCGGCGUCCUGCCUCUAAACCCCCCACAAGUCCGCUCCGGCGGCACCAAGGUUGACCUCGGAUCAGGUAGGAAUACCCGCUGAACUUAAGCAUAUCAAUAAGCGGAGGA